AUGUCGAAGAGACAUCGGACGGCGGCUUCAGACCCGUGGGACGACGACCAGGACAUGCCGCCGCAGAAGGCGCCCCCGGGGAUCCACAGGGCGAAGUUCGGGAUGGUGCAUAAGGUGGACUGGAGCCGCCUCAUCUGGGACCUCGCCGAGAAGGAGAUGGUCGACCUGAGCAAGGGGAGAAGGCCCGACUGGACAUGCCACUAUGCCGCCUACCUGCAGAGGCUCAUCUGGGUGGACAAUCCGGGCCUCUUCCAGCCGGCAUUGCCAUUGCUCGGCCUCGGUGGGGAUCAAAAUCUCCCUUCAGAGCUCCAGUCCAAGAUGCAGGAGGUCGAAGCGAGAUCCAAGCUGCUCGACGCGAGAUCCAAGCUGCUGGACACCAGAGCCGAGCACCUUGAAUCCAAGUCCAAGGAACUGGAAGAACGGGCACUCGCAAGCAAGACACUAACAGAGUUAGAGCUGCUCAACCGGAAUCUGCUCGCCGAGAAAGAAGCAAUCAACAGUGAGCUGGAAAUCAAGGGCAACGGUGACUUAAAAAACCUCCGGGAAGAGCUAGCCGAGCUGCGCGAUGGGAUGCAAGGACUGGAAUCCCUCAACCAGGUCCUGGUCACUAAGAACCUAAUAGACAACGACAAACUGCAAGCGGCUCGGAAAGAGUUGAUCGAUGGCUUGAUGGUGGCCACAAAUGGCAGGGCAAACAUAGGCCUGAAGAGGAUGGGGGAGCUCGAUCCAAAAGCGGUUGCAAAUGCUUGCCGACCGAGAUUGUCACAAAAGAAAACUCUUAUUCUCUGUUCCAAGUGGGAGGCUGAAAUCAGAAACGCAGGUUGGCACCCUUUUAAGGUCAUCAUGGUUGACGAUCAGCCCAUGGAAAUUUUCUUGGACGAUGAUGACAAGCUUGUGGAGCUAAAACAAGAAUAUGGUGACCAAAUGUUCGCCUUGGUAAAACAGGCGCUGAUUGAAAGGAACAAGUACAACCCCAGUGGUGGCUAUCCUGAAACGUUGCUGUGGAACUUCAAGCACAGUCGGGAGGCAACAAUGGAAGAAGCCGUCCAAUUCAUUGUAAAAAAGUGUUGCGCAAACAAGAGGAAGCGUUGA
rnacentral:rRNA from 1 species